rnacentral:tRNA from 3 species
AGCUUUAUAGUCAAGUUUAAAAAUGAUAUAAAAUUGCAAAUUUUAAGGGAUAAGUUUAUUAUUAAGGCUU